GCACCCGUAGCCCAAUGGAUAGAGCGGUAGCCUCCGGAGCUGCAAAUGGGAGUUCGAUCCUCCCCGGGUGCA
rnacentral:tRNA from 1 species